rnacentral:rRNA from 1 species
GACGUAGGGCGCGAGCGUUGUCCGGAUUUAUUGGGCGUAAAGAGUUCGUAGGCGGCUUGUUGCGUCGACCGUGAAAACCCGGGGCUCAACUUCGGGCUUGCGGUCGAUACGGGCGGGCUAGAGUUCGGUAGGGGAGACUGGAAUUCCUGGUGUAGCGGUGAAAUGCGCAGAUAUCAGGAGGAACACCGGUGGCGAAGGCGGGUCUCUGGGCCGAUACUGACGCUGAGGAGCGAAAGCAUGGGGAGCGGACAGG